rnacentral:rRNA from 1 species
UCAGGAUGAACGCUAGCGACAGGCUUAACACAUGCAAGUCGAGGGGCAGCAUAAAAGUAGCAAUACGUUGGUGGCGACCGGCGCACGGGUGAGUAACGCGUAUGCAACCUACCUAUCGAGAGGGGAAUAACCCGGCGAAAGUCGGACUAAUACCGCAUAAAACAGGGGCACCGCAUGGUGAUAUUUGUUAAAGAAAUUCGCUGAUAGAUGGGCAUGCGUUCCAUUAGGUAGUUGGUGAGGUAACGGCUCACCAAGCCGACGAUGGAUAGGGGAACUGAGAGGUUGGUCCCCCACACUGGUACUGAGACACGGACCAGACUCCUACGGGAGGCAGCAGUGAGGAAUAUUGGUCAAUGGGCGAGAGCCUGAACCAGCCAAGUCGCGUGAAGGAAGAAGGAUCUAUGGUUCGUAAACUUCUUUUGCAGGGGAAUAAAGUGCAGGACGUGUCCUGUUUUGUAUGUACCCUGAGAAUAAGGAUCGGCUAACUCCGUGCCAGCCGCCGC